GACGAACGCUGGCGGCGUGCUUAACGCAUGCAAGUCGAACGGAAAGGCCCUGCUUUUGUGGGGUGCUCGAGUGGCGAACGGGUGAGUAACACGUGAGUAACCUGCCCUUGACUUUGGGAUAACUUCAGGAAACUGGGGCUAAUACCGGAUAGGAGCUCCUGCUGCAUGGUGGGGGUUGGAAAGUUUCGGCGGUUGGGGAUGGACUCGCGGCUUAUCAGCUUGUUGGUGGGGUAGUGGCUUACCAAGGCUUUGACGGGUAGCCGGCCUGAGAGGGUGACCGGCCACAUUGGGACUAAGAUACGGCCCAGACUCCUACGGGAGGCAGCAGUGGGGAAUAUUGCACAAUGGGCGGAAGCCUGAGGCAGCAGCGCCGCGUGCGGGAUGACGGCCUUCGGGUUGUAAACCGCUUUCGCCUGUGACGAAGCGUGAGUGACGGUAAUGGGUAAAGAAGCACCGGCUAACUACGUG
rnacentral:rRNA from 1 species